rnacentral:piRNA from 1 species
CUUGAAUAGCGAAGUCCAGCUACA